UCACAAUUAAUCCAACAUAAAUGUAUGUAACGCUGUAUUACUCAUUGUGACGUCAUUCUAUUAUUAUUUCCCGCAUAGCCAUAAGAGAUCGAGCAGAAUGAUUGCCACCACAAUUAUCCUGUUCCACGCCACUAAAUGGCUUUACAGGAACUACAUAGCACCGCGUCCACGACGAAGAGCUCCUCUUAUACUUUUCCCAGAUUAUCCUGGAAGUCCAGUUGAUCCCCCUCAGUACCUCAUCAAUCGUGUUCGCGGAGGCCCGGGAGGAGACCAUUAAGCUAUUACGGAAACCUUAAGAUUUGUGUUUUUGCGCGAUAAGAACAUUUUCAGUCUGAUUAAUAUCAGAUCCUCGAUGCGCUCCUCCUUUUUUGUUUUGUCGCUCAGGCCCGUA